CCCAGGAACUUCCACAUGCUAUGGGCAUGCCCCCCCCACCAAAAACAAGAAAAAGAAAAUUGUUUAAAGUUUUCCUUUUGAAAUUAGGAAUAAGGAGUGAAUUCCCCUUGUGGCUCAGCAGAUUAUGAAAUCUGACUAGUAUCCAUGAGGCUGUGGGUUCCAUCUCUGGCCUUGCUCAGUGGGUUAUGGAUCUGGUGUUUCUGUGGCUGUGGCACAGGUGCUGGCAGGUGCAGCUUUUAUUUGACCCUUGGCCUGGGAACUUCCAUAUGCUCCAGGCAUGGCCCUGAAAAGCGUUAUGGAUGACAUUUGACCCUUGGGACAGAAAGAAAGAAAGAAAGAGAGAGAGAAAGAGAGAAAGAAAGAAAGAGAAAAAGAAAUUAGGAGAAUUUAGGAGUGAGGAAAGAUACCCACUGGAAGCUUAAGAAGUUAGAAUCUGAGGUGGCAUUUCUGAUAAGCAUUUGUAGUUCCAAGGAGGGCAGAGCUGAGGUGUGCCAUUGCAACAGGUAGCUGAAAAAGAAAGGAGGUAAGCCUGUGGGAGUUAGGUGUGAAGCAACCUUGGGCUGGAGUUUUAUGGGGAUUAUUCACAUGGGCACUGACGUCACUAGGGAUGAUAGGAUGGAAGAUGAAACCCGUGCCAAAGCCUUCAGGGAACCCAGAAGAAAGACCAGGAUUCGAGCAGAUGGCAUAGACGGUGAGGGGUAAAAAGUAAUACAACCAAAUGGCGAACUGUCAAAGAGCAUGACGAGUUUUAUCCUCGAGUGAAAGUGUGACUUGGAAAAGCCAGUGGGUAACAAGAACCAACAGGACACUGAUCUCAAGUCCUUGGUCCAUGAGGUUUGCUUAAAUAAACCUCCUGCACCCACUGCAGCUCGGAAGGGAGCCUUCAUUAACAAGGAGGUAGGAGUUCCCACUGUGGCACUACGGGAUCGGGGGCAUCGUUGCAGCACCAGGACACCAGGUUUGAUUCCAGACUCAACACAGUGGGUUAAAAGGAUCUGGCUUUGCAACAGAAGCGCAGAUCUGAUCCCUAGCCCGGGAAUGACAUGUGCCACAGAGUGGCCAAAACGAAAUGAAACAGAGCAGAACAGAACAAGGAGGUCAAGAGCUUUGCAUCAGAUAGUGUCUGGCUCACAGGGGAUGUUCAGUGAGUCACAGCUAAAAGGCUCUGCGGAAAGGGGACAGGGGUCGUGAUGAAAAUACACCGGUAGGAGAAUGGGAAUAGAGUUGAAUGCAGGUGAGCAUGACAGGGAUGCGAUGUGCCGUGAAAUCUUCUAGUCUAAUAUCAGUUCCUAGCAGGUUCUAGCUCUUUCGAAGUAGUGUCUGGAAGAGUGACACUGGGGUCAGAUUCUCUCCAAGAAGCUUGUGGGGGGCCUGUAUGUUUGGUAGUUAACUGGGUUCUGUCGUUAACUACAUUAACGAUGUCCUUCGGAGUUCCCAUCGUGGCGCAGUGGUUAACGAAUCCGACUAGGAACCACGAGGUUGCGGGUUCGAUCCCUGCCCUUGCUCAGUGGGUUAACGAUCCGGCGUUGCCGUGAGCUGUGGUGUGGGUCCCAGACACGGCUCAGAUCCCGAGUUGCUGUGUCUCUGGUGUAGGCCGGUGGCUACAGCUCCAAUUCGACCCCUAGCCUGGGAACCUCCAUAUGCCACAGGAGCGGCUCAAGAAAAAGGCAAAAAGACCAAAAAAAAAAAAAAAAAAAAAAAAAAAGCCAAUAUCCUGACUGAGGCCCCACAAUUUCCAUCCUGGACUACAAUCUCCCAGCUGUUUUUCCAGCCUCCACAUCAUUUCUUUUUUUAUACACAUAUAUAUUUUUUUUGCCCAUGCGCAUGGCCUGUGAAUAUUCCCUGGGCCAGGGAUCAAACCCGCACACAUUAGUAACCAGAGCCACAGUAUGGAGGACACCAGGUCCUUAACCUGCUGAGUCACCAGGGAACUCCCUCCAUGUCGUUUCUCAUUUACUACUUCAAAGGUAAUCUUCCGUCAUUGCCCUUCUCAAAACUCGUCAGUGAAAACAACAAGAAAAAAACCUCGUCAGUGCCUCCCGACUGAAGUUAAAUCUGGAGUUCCCGUUGUGGCUCAGCAGGUGCAGAAGCUGUCUAGUAUCAUGAGGAUGUGGGUUCAAUCCCUGGCCGUGUUCAGUGGGUUAACGAUUCCGGUCACAGAUGCAGCUUGGAUCCUGCGUGGCUGUGGCUGUGGUGUAGGCGGGCACCUGCAGCUCCAGUUGACCCCUAGCCUGGGAGCUGCAUAUGCCACAGUCGGGGGGCGGGGGUGUAAAAAGGUAAAAAGUAAAUCUCCUCGCUUCAGGGUCAAGGCUUUCUUGGUGCUCUCCGGUUGUACAGCAGGUUAAGGAUCCGGCAUUAUCACUGCGGGCUGCUCUGGGACGGUUUGAUCCUUGGCCUGGGGAAGUUCAAAAAAAAAAGGGCAAGACCGUGUGCUUCUAUAAUACACUGAUGAUAGUUUUAUCCGUGUCUCUUACCGUGUCCCCAGUUCCCACUCCCUGCUCCUCAAAUCAGUGUCUGAUGUGGUUUCUUCCCGGCCUUCAUUCUUGCCCUUCAUCCCCCUGCAGUGCCCUCUGACCGUGACUUGUCCAGACCCCAUGCUUCUAGUCAGCUUCGCUCUGUACACCUGCAGGCUUAUGAGGCCCUUGUCCCUCCCACACACCCAGUGUGUCUCCACCGCCACACACAGGCACCAUCCGGUCAGAGCAAACUGGCCGCAGCUAGAGGCCUGCUAGGGCCCUGCGGGCGGGAACUCCUCCCUGUGCUGCUGGACUCGGGCCGUCUGUGGGUUCGGGACAAGGAGCCGGGCGGCUGGGGAGGAAAGGAUAGGGCGGGGCUCAGAGCCGCAGGACAUCCAGGUUCUCGCGGUGGCGGGCGUGGUGGCUGCCCAGGCACCCUCAUGCAGGCCUCCCCUGACCGCACGUUGGACUUCUCCCGCAGCAUCCCACCCACCCCACUCUGUAUGGCCUGGGGUACCCUCAUCCCGCCCCGUCACCAACCUGCAACGAGAAGACCGAUCCUUUCACGAUGGUCUCACGCACCGCUGACCCCGCCGUGAGGCCAGCGUCAUCACGGACCCUCAACAAGUGUUUGCCCCUUUGAAACCAACAAGGGGAAAUUAACCUUCCUUCGCAUAUCAACAAAGUGGGUUCCUGAGGAAAAAGGAAGCGUCAGUCAAUUUCAGGAACGCCUGCUCUGUACCGCGAUGUACCACGUAAUGAAAUGGGACUUGGUUUUAUGCUGGCAGUAAACCCAGGAGGUUGGUUUUCUUAUUCCCAUUUUGUAGAUGCGUCAAUCAAGGCUUAGACUCCUUCCACUGGUCCAGGACCACCCAGCUGGAAGUGGCAGAGGGGAGACUGCCAUCCUGUGUGUCCCAUGCUGUGCUCCUUGUCGCCUUUUCAAAGCUCGUGCGUGUCUCUCACGCAGGCGACUGCUUUGUUUGUUCUGUGGUUCAAAUCAGAGAUUCUGUGGAACUUUCAUGAUUAAUCUAGAGGCUCUUUUCAAAACAUGCUCACCCCAGGUGCAACUUUAUCCCCCGGAGGAAAAGCACACGCUGGGCUGGUCACCUGCGCAAGACACAGUAGCGGGUCCCUUGGUUUCGGCCCCUUGGCUUAUUUUACCACCAUUUCUUUUCCACCAACUCAGUUACAUUUGAUAGAGUUCUUUUGAGAGAGAUCUCCUUCUGAAUCUUUGCAGAAGGAAGAAGUUCAGCACAAAAAGUAUAAAGGGAAACCAUUUUAAUUUUUUAAUUCAUGCCAUUAUUAGCUCCUCUUGCAUCAGCUUCUUCUAAUUAUGCAGAAGUGCAUACAUCUGACAGAGUGCCUGGCCCUGACUCAUGACUUACUAAUGAGAUCAUAUUUUUCAUUACAAUUCCAAAAUCCCAUCAAUCUUUUCCUAAUUAUUUUUAAGUGAAUUUGCUGCUUUAGAAAGGAAAGGGCGCAUGUGGCACCAGCAGGAACUAGGAAAGUUUCAUGCGAUUUCAAUUUCAGGAACUUUGUUGGCAAGAUGGCCUAUAACUGUUGCCAAUGUUAAUAAAUCAAAUUUUGAUGUCUAGGAACGGGUUUUAAGCUAUGCCUCCCCGCCCCAUAUACCAGCACUCACUCUCAGAUUCAGUGAAUCAGACCUCCAAGCAUCGCCACAGCAAAGCUCCUUCCAGAUAGUGCUGCCAACACAUAUUAUAGUCAUGGGUAUAGCCAGGGCACCAUUCGAAAUGUUGGAAAACGGAUACUAGCUCUUUCGCUGGAACAGGAUGCUGGACACCAGCUCUGCCACACGGAACUCUUUAGCAGCUGGACUUCAAGAAGCUCCCAGAGGGGCCUAGAGGGGGGGCCAGAGCAGAUUUCACACGCCGUGUGGUACAGGCGCUGACCAGUAUCGGCCAGAGCGGCCCAGGCGACUUAGCAGGGGCCACUUUGUCACCUGUAAGUUGACAGUGUAAGUUGGUCAUGGGCGCCCUGUCCUUAGGCAGUGUGUUUGGCCGAUAGUCGCUAGUCAGAGGUUUAUGUAACGAGGGGACCCGGCUGACCGGGGAAUUUCCUCGCCCUUGCCUGGGCUCACCUUUGUUCUCCACGUUAACUUUCCCAUGUUCCCCAUGAAAUGAAGACCCCCCAAAAUGAAACUCCAGCUGCCUGAUUGCAAAUUUAAAAGGUCUAAUUUUUCAAAAUGUUUUUCAUGUGAAGCAGAUGUUUAAUGUCAGUGGCAUGUGAUUUAGCUCUUGGAGGUGCCCAGAACCCCUGGAAAAGGUGACUGAAGGAACAAGGGCUGGGUCUGGGGAGGAACUCACUGUCCUGAGUUCCGGGGAGGCUGGUGCGGCUGGUUUGGGUGGAGAGGAGUCCCCCCACCCCCCGCCGUGCACUGAUUCUGCCCAAAGGCAGAAAGCCCCCCAGUCCCCGAUCUGUGGCUCUGCGUUCCUCUGCUCCGACAGCAAUCGUUUGCCUUUAAGUGUUAGUCUUACUCAUUAAACUGGCACUGAGCAGUUGGCCUCAUUCACACCCCACUCCACACUCGAUACUCUUUUCUGAAAUGUCCUAAGGGUUCCCGUCAGGGCUCAACAGAAACAAAUCCGACUAGGAACCAUGAGGACCCAGGUUCCAUCCCUGGCCUCGCUUGGGUUAAGGAUCGGGUGUUGCUGUGGCUGUGGUGUAGGCCAGCAGCUGUAGCUCUGAUUCAACCUCUAGGCUGGGAACCUCCUUAUGCCACGGGUAUGGCCCUAAAAAGCAACAAAAAAAAAGAAAAAAAA
rnacentral:lncRNA from 1 species